CUCUGCUGUGAGAAGGUGUGCGUGCGAGCACACCAGAGCCUCCCACCAGCUGGGUGCCCUGCCUGUCCGGACGACAGCAGGGGUGAUGUUUCCUGCUUCUCCGGACUGUUACAGUUGGUCAGGCUGCUGUCUUGUCUUCAUUUAAUUUUGUUUGAUGUUUGAUUUAUUAUUUUGUCCCAGUUACUUUUGGUUUGGUUGUCUUUGUCCGUUGCUGUGUGUACUGAGAGUUGCUUGCUGUGGAGAGCUGCAUUACUGUGUGAGACACUUUCUUAAACUUGCUGUGUUUGGUGCAAACUUCUCACCCUUGAUAUUAGCCUGCCCCCUCAGGCAAGCUCUGUCUGCCUUUGUUAGAAUGUCUGUGUUGUCUCUUUUGUUUAAUAAAUACUGUGUUUAAGGAA